rnacentral:rRNA from 1 species
GAUGAACGCUGGCGGAAUGCCUAACACAUGCAAGUCGAGUGGAAAGAGGAUGUGUUUCCUCCGCUUAGGUGACGGGCGGAUGGGUAACGAAUAAAUAAAUAACCUACCUAUUAGGGAGAGAAUUUGUAAAGGAAUGCUAGUUCCUACUAGUAUAUAUAUAGAACCUCAUGUAAUUAUAAAAAAUGUAAGUGCUGUGAGAGCGCUUUGCGUCAUACUAGCUGGUUGGAGAGGUAACGGCUCACCAAGGCGAUGAUGGCUAGCCGGCCUGAGAGGGUGAUCGGCCACAAGGGGACUGAGACACGGCCCUUACUCCUACGGGAGGCAGCAGUGGGGAAUAUUGGACAAUGGACCGAGAGUCUGAUCCAGCAAUUCUGUGUGCACGAUGAAGUUUUUCGGAAUGUAAAGUGCUUUCAGUUGGGAAGAAACAAAUGACGGUACCAACAGAAGAAGUGACGGCUAAAUACGUG